GACUAAACCCGGUCGGAAAAAUGAUGGAUAAAGAAAGAAAGUAGCGAGGUCUCUGCGGAGGGGGAAGGAGAAGGAGGGAGUACGGAGUAGGGGGAAGGAGGGAGAAGUAGGGUGAGGCCGUUCUCUGGCGGCGGGACCACCAGUCUCGGAGGAGCAGCAGCAGCAGAUCCCAAGGUAGUUCUUGCCCCAGCAGAUCCGAAGCAGUUCGAGCCCAGUAAAUCCCAAGGCAGUUCCAGGCGCGCGGAUCCCAAGGCAGUUCGGGGCAGUUCAAGCCGUAGAAGUUCCAUUACGGGGGUUAAGGGGGCGACACAAGAAACAGUGCGACCAAGCACAAGAGACACACACCAUAGCGGUCUAACUCCGCUAACAACAGGGCAAACACAGCCUGGUCGCAAAGAUCCCAAACAUCCUCCAAAACCACCGUCGUCACCUAGCUAAAAAAGCAAGACUAAACCCACUUAGACUUCGGUCUGUUCUCCCAACGGAAGUCUUAAACCUAAGUCCCAUACUUACGUCGUAUCACUACCAUCCUCCCACAGACAAGUACACGAACCCCUCACCUCUUCCACCGGCUCUUUCCACAGCGACGGACUCUCUUUAGACGCCAAGGUUUCUGUAGACUUCAGAGACUCUACCACAGGCCGUUUCGGAUGACAUAGACCACAAUGACGAAAAAUAAAAAGACAGUAGCAAGGACGGCUUAUUCACGAGAUCUACCAGACGACGCAGACGGUAUCACUCGUUUUCUCAGAUAGAUCCAACCAUCAUUGAUAAGUACAGACAGCAGUUACGAGAACACCCCUCCUACUAUAACGUUAAAGAUACAAGUUAGUUUACAAGCUCAAGAGACAAUUAGAACAGGUACAUAACAGUCAGAAGACGUAUGUAACAUGACUAUUAUAACAGGUCUCCUCUUCGGUUUCUUUUAACAUGACACCAGUUAAAAGGGACUUAAUCAACCAAAUACGACCAAAUACACGGUACAGUCUCAUCGAGACGACUUAACUCAAAUGGUGAAAGACAGAAAGAAAGACUGUGCGACCGUAGAAGGGAUGCAGAAGAUGUGCACGGAUCUUGAUAGUGCCUUAACUUGUAUGUACCUUGUGAUCUAUUGACCUGAUCUUGGGUGAACAAUCCUACAUAAAACAGCUCUUCGUUCGUGGAUAGUUAAAAAAUUGGUCGUACACUUAACAAAAUAGAACAAUACAUUCUCAACACACAUUACAGAUCAUGACUGUCAAAGAUAGAACAAGUACUGAAGCUCCCUGAAGUUCUUCUACAAAGUUGGUUCUUCUCCUUUUUCGCGCCAAUCAAUGCACGUCUUGCCUUUGUGAAGGUCGAAGAUUUUACCUUGAGACAGGUUAACGGGGUACUUACGUCGUCUUCAUCAAUAUUUCAGUCGAUAGAGUAUAAACUUUUUGAAAAUUCAUGGGGGAGAAAAGAGAACACACCUUUAGUCAGAAGGGUUCAGGCGGGGCUUUUGAUGUUAAUAAUACUCCUCUUAAAAGGCUUGUUAAAUUAUAAAAAGAGAGCCAAACAUGAUUUACAAAAAGGGUUGUCAAAUUAUGUAAAGAACCUUAGCAUAGUGGUCAUCAAAAGACAUAAUGAUAUACUAAAAACUCGUCGUGGAGAAGAAAAUAUAUACACAAACAACGUGUAUUAACAAAAGUUAAAAAUACUAUUGACCUAGUUUGUAUCCAAAUGUCCUCAAUUGUGUAACACUACUUAUUUUGUUGCAACUACGUAUCAAAAUGUUCUAUGUUAAAAACCAGAAGGAAUCCUGGAGCAAGGAUCCUUUGUGACUUGUUUGAAAGCUGAGUUGCCUUGUAAUCAAAAGGGUUUAUUGAAAAAUUGUAAAAUACUUUUGUAAAGAAAUUAUAUGUAAAUUCAUCGGAAAAAGAGUAAAAAGAGUAACAUGAAGGUAAAAAAACCCCUUAUAUAUAGUUGUCGUACUGAGAGUACUUUUGAAGUCAGACAAACAUUAUCUUCUUAAGAAUCCCCUAGAGUAUUGCAGUAAUACGUGAACGAGCCCAAUAAAUAACCCUUUAGACAAAAACCUGGGUGUAUUACAAAAAAAGAGUAUUUUCGCGUGUGUGCCCAAUACUGAUAUCAAACAAACCUGAUCUUAUAAAAAAAGCGAGGAAGGAUCGUUACAAAAAAAACCAGUUUUGGCAAGCAUAGAUUGUUUAAUCUUUAGUACCUGAGCUCGCUUCCUAUGUUUACCUGUAUAUAGAUUGUACUCCGGUUAGAACGGUAAGUAGAAGGGAUAAGGAUCACUUGUAAAAAAAUGUCUUGUUAAAAAAGUUCAUAGUAAAUUAACAACUACGGUUCGUUGUAAAAAAAUCUCUUGUAAAAAGUCAUAUAGUAAUAAAAUCUCUUGUGAUAAGUUCUUUGUAAAAAAAGUUCAGGGUAAAAUUAACAACUACGGCUACUUUUUAAUAUACUGAACUUCUUGUAAAAAUAUGAAGGCUCUUGUAAUAAAUUAUGAUCAAAGGGGGUUAUUACAAUAAAUUUUACUUGUAAUAAGUCAAUAGUAGCCUCGUUAUGAACAAGGGGGUUAUUACAGGGAACUUCUUACAGGGAAUUUAUAACAAGGGGUCAAUUUAUAAGUAAAAAAAUAAUUGGUCCCUUGUAAAAGGUUUCUUGUAAUAAAUUUUUUGUAAAAAAACCGUUGUAAUAAAAUCUAUAGUUAUAAAAUCUCCCGUAAAAAGAUCCUAAAAAAAUCCACAUACUAAUGAAGUACUACAGUUGUAAAAAGAUCCUAAAGAAAAUUAAUAACUCCCUUGUAUAAGUUUAUUGUAAAUAAAAAAUCUGAAAUCCCUUCUAAAAGGUUCUCUUUAAAGAACCGUGGUCGUUUGUAAAGGACUGUUCGUAAUAAAUCCCUUGUAAAAAGACAAAAAGUAAUAAAAUCUCUUGUAAUAAAACCCCUUGUAAAAAAGGUACAGGGUAAAUUAACAACUACGGCUCCUUUGUAAUAAACAGAACUUCUUGUAAAAAAAUGAAUUCUCUUGUUAUAAAUUAAAACUUUUUGUUUAAAAAAUAAAAAAACGAUUUCUUACAGGGAAAUUAUUACACGGGAUCAGUUUACAAGUAAAAAAAUAAUUAGUCCCUUAAUAUCAAGGGGAUAUUACAAGGGACUAAUUACAAGGAAAUUAUUACAAGGGGUUUAUUACAAGUUGAAAAAACAAGGGGGUUAUUACAAGGGAUUUAUUACAAAGAAAUUAUCACAACAGGUUUAUUACAAGGGAGUUAUAAACAACUACGGCUCCUUUAUAAUAAACUGAGCUUCUUGUAAAAAUUUGAAGUCUCUUGUAAAAAAAAUUUUGUACAUCACUAAAAAAAUCUUGUAAUAAAGAAAGAAAAAGAAAUUAUUACAAGGGGUUUAUUUACAAGUUAAAUAAAACAAGGGGGUUAUUACAAGGGACUUAUUACAAAGAAAUUAUUACUAGGGGUUUAUUAACAACUACGGCUCCUUUAAUAAACUGAACUUCUUGUAAAAAUUUGAAGUCUCUCAUAAAAAAUAAAACUAUUUGUAAAUUACAAAAAGCCUUGUAAUAACUCCCUUGUAAUAAGUUCCUUGUAAUAAUAUAAGUCUUACAACAUUUGUAAAAAGAAGUUGCUGCGAUCAUUAAGUUCUUAGGGUUUUCCGACCAUUCGUCCAGUAGAAAAGUCUACCUUAUCUCUUACUAAAGAUGGUUUGUAACCAACCUGAAGAAGGGUUUAAUUGAAUGUCGGUUUACUAUAAACUCUAACUUCCUCAAACCCACCUAGUCUUUUGAUAUUGAGAUAGUAAGUUCGGACCACCAACCUAUUUGGGAGCCCAACAACCGACAAAAAGUUUUGAUUUCUUGUUUCCGGUCGACCUGGCUCCUUCUUUUCCGGAGGAUACUUUGUCGCUUUAUCACCUCGUGUAUCAAUCGUAACUGCUGUACCUCUUCGAUUACUUGGGUUACGAUUUAGUAAGUCUAGGACGUUUGGUUGAUUAGAAUGUCCUUUCAUUACAACCGAAGUCAAAUAACUUACGAAGGAACCAUUUUUACGGGCAUAAGUUCCUUUUUGUUACCUAAAAUUAGUAACGAUUAAAGUAUCGGUUUAAAAAACUAUAGUACUUGGGCAUGAUGUCACCGCUAUAUAAAGAUGGUUGUUAAUCACGGCAAUAGAUGUUGAAGUUCCAAAACAAACGACGAUGUAUGCCUUUAAGAUCAAGAAAGUUGUAUCCUUUAAAACUUAGUUCUAAACAUGGUCGAGGGUUCCAGUUAAAGUCCACACAAAAGGUAUCUUGAGAGGGGAAAAUGUUCUAAACAUGUUCGGUGGUCGUUGAAAAACCAAGAAAGAGGAUUUUUCCGUCUAAUUUUCAUAAAAUUUAAGUGUUAUUAAAGGUAGGAUUCAUACCUUGACUAACACGAUAAUAAAAACAAAGUGUUCAUACUGAGUUCUUAAAAGGAAGAAGUUAUACAAUCGUUCAUGUUUCCAGAGCUAAACCUCCCCAAGAGAUUACAUUCGCUAUCUGUAUACAAAGGAAAAAACCAGUAAUUAACCUUGUAUAAUCCUUAAUUUAUUGUGAAAAAGAUUUUAUGACAUACUACUAAAUGUUCGAGAUGCAGUUUUUAAGGAAAAACUCUAACAUUGAACGUUCCUGUUCCUUUAAGUCGACGGCAAUCAUUGAAGAAAGGACGUCUCUGUACAUUCAAGAGAUAAAUAAACAGAGGGUUACUGUCUUUUCUCUACAAUAAAAGAAUCUCGGACAAGAAAGUAUGGCUUGUCACUUUAAUAAAAGAAGAUUAGGGCAUAUACAAAGUUGUCCUAAAGGUGUAUAAGUUCACUUCGAAACUUCCGGUUAGAAAUGAGCAAGACGUAUACUGUUAUUGGAGUCCGAGAGUAAUUAUGACAGUGGAAGUUCCCUUCAACGUGAUGUUCUAAGUUGAGUUUCCUUAUGAAGGUACCCUUUUUACAAAGGAAUUGCUAUCUCGAUAGAAAAAAAGGAGAACGACCAGAUCACUAUCAAAGAAACGUUCUGGAAGUCGAUAUUUGUUACAGGCCUUUGUCAACUUUGCCAAAACAUUUGCUCGUUGGCUAAAGAAACCCUUUGUAUAAAGGGAAAAAAUAAGAGUUCCCAGGGUUGCGUUCUAAAAAAAAGUUGAGUUUCCUUGUCAUGGUACUCCUUUGAUUAGGCAACAAACAAAUUGUAAGAACGUAAUACAAGUUAACAUUUCUUCCAAAUUUAGACGUCUUAUUCAAACAUUUCAUCGAGUUUAUAAAUAUAAGAAUAAAGG
rnacentral:rRNA from 1 species